GCCCCCAUGGCGGAAUGGCAGACGCCGCGGACUUAAAAUCCGCUGCCGGCAACGGCGUCCCGGUUCGAGUCCGGGUGGGGGCACCA
rnacentral:tRNA from 1 species